AUUUUUUGAGAAGUGCACAUCAGUGACGGCGACGGCCACAUCGAAGGGCUAUGCGUCAGCGCCAUAGCAUACGCCGGCGUUUGACGCAGAAGUAUAAAUCAGCCUUAAGUCAAGAACCAAAUGAAGCACCAGAGUACAGAUUAUGGAGGUAUCUGAAGUUGAACUAACUGGAAGCAGGGAACCAUACUAAUAAAGUUCCUUAAGGUAAAAGCACCUGCUUUAUUUUGAUAGGAAGUAUUUUUUUAUAGAGUUCUAUUGUUUUAUUCUUAUUCUAAUUUUAUUUUCUUCAUAUACUGAAUGGAAGUCAUUCAAAUUUCACAACAAAUGAUUUGCAGAUUGAAUAUAAAAUAUAAUGACAUUUUAAUGCAUUAUUUCUUUUGGUUAUUCUUUACAUCUAUAUAUGGGCAAGUAUUUAAUCAAUGAAAAUAAUUUUUAACAACUUAACUAAACAAAUUACUCUGUUGGACCCUAGCAAAAUCCUCAAACUAACACACACUCUUGUGAAUGCAUUCUCACAUUCAUACACUCAAAAACACACAUUCAUACAACAGUCUGUCUCAGUCUGACUCACACACAACAUCCUCUCUCACAGAUUUUUCUAGCAAACCUCCACCACUAGCUUGUCCUUUUAUGCUGCUUUUAUUUCAAACAUUUUAUAGCAUGAUAUAGUCCAGGUUUUUAUCACUAAGUAUUUUUUUUUCCAUUCAGCAGUUUCCUUGUAAAGAUGAACCCAGGGAAGGAUCGAAAGUGGAGAAGACCAGAUCAAGAAAGACUACAUCAAGAUCUGCGGUCAGUUCAAAGGAUGUUUUGCAUUGGACUGUUUUUUUUGGCUUUGACCCUUGCUUGCCCCUGACCUCACUCUUGGACUGCCCUGUUGGAUUUUCAGUUUAUUUAAUU